rnacentral:rRNA from 2 species
GCGGCCGUAACUAUAACGGUCCUAAGGUAGCGAAAUUCCUUGUCGGGUAAGUUCCGACCUGCACGAAUGGCGUAAUGAUGGCCAGGCUGUCUCCACCCGAGACUCAGUGAAAUUGAACUCGCUGUGAAGAUGCAGUGUACCCGCGGCAAGACGGAAAGACCCCGUGAACCUUUACUAUAGCUUGACACUGAACAUUGAGCCUUGAUGUGUAGGAUAGGUGGGAGGCUUUGAAGUGUGGACGCCAGUCUGCAUGGAGCCGACCUUGAAAUACCACCCUUUAAUGUUUGAUGUUCUAACGUGGACCCGUAAUCCGGGUUGCGGACAGUGUCUGGUGGGUAGUUUGACUGGGGCGGUCUCCUCCUAAAGAGUAACGGAGGAGCACGAAGGUUGGCUAAUCCUGGUCGGACAUCAGGAGGUUAGUGCAAUGGCAUAAGCCAGCUUGACUGCGAGCGUGACGGCGCGAGCAGGUGCGAAAGCAGGUCAUAGUGAUCCGGUGGUUCUGAAUGGAAGGGCCAUCGCUCAACGGAUAAAAGGUACUCCGGGGAUAACAGGCUGAUACCGCCCAAGAGUUCAUAUCGACGGCGGUGUUUGGCACCUCGAUGUCGGCUCAUCACAUCCUGGGGCUGAAGUAGGUCCCAAGGGUAUGGCUGUUCGCCAUUUAAAGUGGUACGCGAGCUGGGUUUAGAACGUCGUGAGACAGUUCGGUCCCUAUCUGCCGUGGGCGCUGGAGAACUGAGGGGGGCUGCUCCUAGUACGAGAGGACCGGAGUGGACGCAUCACUGGUGUUCGGGUUGUCAUGCCAAUGGCACUGCCCGGUAGCUAAAUGCGGAAGAGAUAAGUGCUGAAAGCAUCUAAGCACGAAACUUGCCCCGAGAUGAGUUCUCCCUGAGACUUAGAGUCUCCUGAAGGAACGUUGAAGACGACGACGUUGAUAGGCCGGGUGUGUAAGCGCAGCGAUGCGUUGAGCUAACCGGUACUAAUGAACCGUGAGGCUUAACCUU